AGCGAGUCUGAAUAGGGCGUUGAGUCGCGUGUUCUAGACCCGAAGCGGAGUGAUCUAGCCAUGGGCAGGCUGAAGCGUGGGUAAGACUGCGUGGAGGGCCGAACCCACCAACGUUGAAAAGUUGGGGGAUGACCUGUGGUUAGGGGUGAAAGGCCAAUCAAACUCCGUGAUAGCUGGUUCUCCCCGAAAUGCAUUUAGGUGCAGCGUCGUGUGUUUCUUGCCGGAGGUAGAGCACUGGAUGGUCUAGGGGGCCUACAAGCUUACCGAAAUCAGCCAAACUCCGAAUGCCGGUAAGUGAGAGCGCGGCAGUGAGACUGCGGGGGAUAAGCUUCGUAGUCGAGAGGGAAACAGCCCAGAUCACCAGCUAAGGCCCCUAAGCGUGUGCUAAGUGGAAAAGGAUGUGGGGUCGCAUAGACAACCAGGAGGUUGGCUUAGAAGCAGCCAUCCUUGAAAGAGUGCGUAAUAGCUCACUGGUCAAGUGGUUCCGCGCCGACAAUGUAGCGGGGCUCAAGCACACCGCCGAAGCUGUGGCAUUCACGCGUGUACUUCGCAUGGCCCUUUUGGGGGUUGUGUGCAGGUGUGUGGAUGGGUAGGGGAGCGUCGUGCCGGGGGUGAAGCAGCCGAGUGAUCGAGUUGUGGACGCGGUGCGAGUGAGAAUGCAGGCAUGAGUAGCGAAAGAAGGGUGAGAAACCCUUCCGCCGGAUGACCAAGGGUUCCAGGGCCAGGUUAAUCCGCCCUGGGUGAGUCGGGGCCUAAGGCGAGGCCGAGAGGCGUAGUCGAUGGAUAACGGGUUGAUAUUCCCGUACCCGCGAAGGAGCGUCCCUGAUGAACCUCGUUGUGCUAACCAUCCGAGCUUGGUGUGGUCUUCGGACUGUGCUGGGGGAGCGUGGGAACCUGGCGGGUAGUAGUCAAGCGAUGGGGUGACGCAGGAAGGUAGCUGAGCCCGGCCGGUGGUUGUGCCGGGGUAAGCGUGUAGGCCGUGUCGUAGGUAAAUCCGCGGCGCGUGUGGCUGAGACGUGAUGCCGAGCCGAUUCAGGUGAAGUCAGUGAUCCUAUGCUGUCGAGAAAAGCCUCUAGCGAGUUCCGAGCGGCCCGUACCCCAAACCGACACAGGUGGUCAGGUAGAGAAUACCGAGGCGAUCGGGUGAACUGUGGUUAAGGAACUCGGCAAAUUGCCCCCGUAACUUUGGGAGAAGGGGGGCCGGAGACGUGAAGGCACGUGCUGCUGGAGCGUUGUAUGGCCGCAGAGAGCAGGGGGAAGCGACUGUUUACUAAAAACACAGGUCCAUGCGAAGAAGUAAUUCGAUGUAUAUGGACUGACGCCUGCCCGGUGCUGGAACGUUAAGGGGACCUGUUAGUCUUUCGGGGCGAAGCGGAGAACUUAAGCGCCAGUAAACGGCGGUGGUAACUAUAACCAUCCUAAGGUAGCGAAAUUCCUUGUCGGGUAAGUUCCGACCUGCACGAAUGGCGUAACGACUUCCCCACUGUCUCAACCACAGGCCCGGCGAAAUUGCAUUACGAGUAAAGAUGCUCGUUACGCGCGGCAGGACGGAAAGACCCCGGGACCUUUACUAUAGCUUGACAUUGGUAUCCGAAUUUGCUUGUGUAGGAUAGGUGGGAGCCGGUGAAGU
rnacentral:rRNA from 1 species